rnacentral:rRNA from 1 species
UACGGGGGGGGCAAGCGUUGUUCGGAAUUACUGGGCGUAAAGGGCUCGUAGGCGGCCAACUAAGUCAGACGUGAAAUCCCUCGGCUUAACCGGGGAACUGCGUCUGAUACUGGAUGGCUUGAGUUCGGGAGAGGGAUGCGGAAUUCCCGGUGUAGCAGUGAAAUGCGUAGAGAUCGGGAGGAACAUCUGUGGCGAAGGCGACUACCUGGACCAGCACUGACACUGAGGAGCGAAAGCUAGGGGAGCGAACGGG